rnacentral:rRNA from 1 species
GCAAAGGUAGCAUAAUCAAUAGUCUUUUAAUUGUAGGCUUGAAUGAAAGGUUGGACGGAGAGAAAGCUGUCUUAAUAAAUUGUAAUUGAAUUUGACUUUUGUGUGAAAAGGCAUAAAUAUUUUGAUGGGACGAUAAGACCCUAUAAAACUUGACAUGUUAUUAUUAUUUUUUAUAAAAGUUAAUUAAGUUAUAAAAUGAUUAAAAGUGUUAUGCUGGGGCGGCAUAGAUAUAAUUUGUAACUGUCAUUAUUAUUAAAUAUAAAUAUAUAGAUUGUGGUCCUUUAUUAAGGAGAUAAGAUUAAGUUACUUUAGGGAUAACAGCAUAAUUUUUUCUGAGAGUUCUUAUCGAAGAAAUAAGUUGUGACCUCGAUGUUGAAUUAAAAUAU